UGCUGAGUUAAACUUACGUGCCACCUUCUU
rnacentral:piRNA from 1 species